UGGCUCAGUUGGUAGAGCAUGGCGCUUUGAAUGCCUGGGUCGUGGGUUUGAUUCCCAU
rnacentral:tRNA from 1 species